rnacentral:rRNA from 1 species
CAGUCGCCACGGUAAUACGAGGGGGGCAAGCGUUGUUCGGAAUUAUUGGGCGUAAAGGGUGCGUAGGCGGUUUGGCAAGUUUGGUGUUAAAUCUUCGGGCUCAACUCGAAGUCUGCAUCGAAAACUGCCGGGCUUGAGUAUGGGAGAGGUGAGUGGAAUUUCCGGUGUAGCGGUGAAAUGCGUAGAUAUCGGAAGGAACACCUGUGGCGAAAGCGGCUCACUGGACCAUAACUGACGCUGAUGCACGAAAGCUAGGGGAGCAAACAGGAUUAGAUACCCCCGUAGUCCCUGUCUCUUAUAC